AUGAAUUUUAUCUCUAAUGAGUUUGGUUUCUACUUUAUCCAAUCACUACCAACAACAACAAAAAAAAACAAACGAUAUCACAAAUCAAAGAAACAGGAAGAAGAAGUAGCUAGCCGCAAACCUGCCAGUCUUAAUCAACAACCUGGAAAACAACAUUAUAAUGAAACAUCACAAGCUGGACAGAGCCCUCCAUCGAUGCAUCAACCCAUCUUCAAUCGGCAUUCGUCGAUGCUACCACAAGAUCCGACGAAUCUGGAGUCCGGCGGUGAGAACUGUACACGUAACUUAGUCGGUGCAAACAUCGACGAGAGCCCUCCAUUUUGCAUACAACAACAACGUCUCCGGAGAUCCACCAUCAAAAUUUCCACGAUCCGACUGUCUCCCCUUCAAAUCCAGAGACAUUUUUAG